rnacentral:rRNA from 1 species
AACGAACGCUGGCGGCAGGCCUAACACAUGCAAGUCGAACGCUGUAGCAAUACAGAGUGGCAGACGGGUGAGUAACGCGUGGGAACCUUCCCAAUGGUGCGGAAUAGCCCAGGGAAACUUGGGGUAAUACCGCAUAAGCCCUUAGGGGGAAAGAUUUAUCGCCAUUGGAUGGGCACGCGUCGGAUUAGCUAGUUGGUGAGGUAAUGGCUCACCAAGGCAACGAUCCGUAGCUGGUUUGAGAGAAUGACCAGCCACACUGGGACUGAGACACGGCCCAGACUCCUACGGGAGGCAGCAGUGGGGAAUCUUGGACAAUGGGCGCAAGCCUGAUCCAUCCAUGCCGCAUGAGUGACGAAGGCCUUAGGGUUGUAAAGCUCUUUUGCCGGGGACGAUAAUGACGGUACCCGGAGAAUAAGUCCCGGCUAACUUCGUGCCAGCCGCCGCCGUAACAC